GGAUCAAGAAGUCAGGACUAAGUGUUAAAGAGUUGCAUUUCCUUAGGUAUGGAGACAAGUCCUUGUAGUGUUUCAGCACGAAAUCCACCUUGCACCCAAGAGAGCAAUGAAUGAAGGGUUCUUGAAGACUUCUGUCACAGGAAGUGCAAUAGUUUCCAGACCCCUUCAAUUGCCUGUUCUGAGGUCUCUUUUUGAUGAACACCACUUUGGCACUAUUUAUAGUAUAGGCCUGCACAUUCGAGCAGUCUAUUAGCUUCUGGAG
rnacentral:misc_RNA from 1 species